CACCAGGAAUUAUGGCAGGAGGCCAGACCAGCUCAUCACCCUGUGCCCGGGGCUGGUGGGGGAGCUGCUGCAGUCAGCGCCUAAGCCUGUAGUUCCCUCUCCAGAAAUGGUGGGGCAUUUCCGUCUAUUAAUCAUGGAAAGAGACAUGAGGAGACCCAUCCACUUCAUCUGGACAUUCGGUCUCCGUGUGGAUGAAGACAGAGAGAGGUCCAGAGUUCAAAUCCCAGCAACCACAU